GUCUCUUUAAUGAUGGUUAGUGGGCCCAUUUAUUGUGAUGACACUGCAGAUGAGUUCUAGAAAUCCCAUUCAUAUAGUUACCUGGACAAGACAGUAAAACAUCUGAUUCUGCCAACGCCCAGGACUUGGUAUUCUCAUCAAGAUGUCAUCGAACACUAUGUCCUGAAAAUCUGCGUAAUUUUUUGGUUCUUCUUUUUGUGCUUAAAUAGAAUUGAUGUAUAGCAUGUAUAAUGUGUGGCAGAUAACAGUUAGCUAAGAGCAAAUGUAAUGACGGUGAUUGAGAAGAAACGGAGUCUCACUCUGUCGGCCAGGCUGGAGUGCAGUGGCGUGAUCUCGGCUCACUGCAACCUCUGCCUCCAAGGUUCAAGCAAUUCUCCUGCCUCAGCCUCCUGAGUAGCUGGGACUACAGGCGCCUGCCACCAUGCCCAGGUAGUUUUUGCAUUUUUAGUAGAGACGGUUUCACCGUGUUGGCCAAGAUGAUCUCUAUCUCCUGACCUUGUGAUCCACCUGUCUCGGCCUCCCAAAGUGCUGGGAUUGUAGGUGUAAGCCACUGCACCAGGCAACAUUAUCUCUUUAAUUUGCAUAAUAGCCUAGGGUAGAAUGCUUCAUUUGUCCCACAUACCACCUCCUGCCCUUUUUUUUUUUUAGCUGAGAAAUCUAAAGUUCACAGGGUUAAGAGACUUUCCUAAGGCUAUUCCCCUAGUAAGUGGCAAAAAGUAAAAAUCAGGUCUUUUGACGUAAAACCAAGUUUUAGUCACCCUUAAAAUAUUUUAACUUGGACUUUAUGAAUGUACAACAAAACUAUCAUUGUACUACCAAAUCUUUUUUUUUUAAUUUUUUUUUUAUUAUACUUUAAGUUUUAGGGCCAUGUGCAUAACGUGCAGGUUUGUUACAUAUGUGUACAUGUGCCAUGUUGGUGUGCUGCACCCAUUAACUCAUCAUUUACAUUAGGUAUAUCUCCUAAUGCUAUCCCUCCCCGCUCCCCCCACUCCACAACAGGCCCCGGUGUGUGAUGUUCCCCUUCCUGUGUCCAUGUGUUCUCAUUGUUCAAUUCCCACCUAUGAGUGAGAACAUGCAGUGUUUGGGUUUUUGUCCUUGCGAUAGUUUGCUGAUAAUGAUGGUUCCCAGCUUCAUCCAUGUCCCUACAAAGGACAUGAACUCAUCAUUUUUUACAGCUGCAUAGUAUUCCAUGGUGUAUAUAUGCCACAUUUUCUUAAUCCAGUCUAUCAUUGUUGGACAUUUGGGUUGGUUCCAAGUCUUUGCUGUUGUGAAUAGUGCCGCUGUAAACAUACGUGUGCAUGUGUCUUUAUAGCAGCAUGAUUUAUAAUCCUUUGGGUAUAUACCCAGUAAUGGGAUGGCUGGGUCAAAUGGUAUUUCUAGUUGUAGAUCCCUGAGGAAUUGCCACACUGACUUCCACAAUGGUUGAACUAGUUUACAGUCCCAUCAACAGUGUAAAAGUGUUCCUAUUUCUCCACAUCCUCUCCAGCACCUGUUGUUUCCUGACUUUUUAAUGAUUGCCAUUCUAACUGGUGUGAGAUGUUAUCUCAUUGUGGUUUUGAUUUGCAUUUAUCUGAUGGCCGGUGAUGAUAAGCAUUUUUUCAUGUGUCUUUUGGGUGCAUAAAUGUCUUCUUUUGAGAAGUGUCUGUUCAUAUCCUUUGCCCACUUUUUGAUGGGGUUGUUUGUUUUUUUCUUGUAAAUUUGUUUGAGUUCUUUGUAGAUUCUGGAUAUUAGCCCUUUGUCAGAUGAGUAGAUUGCAAAAAUGUUCUCCCAUUCUGUAGGUUCCCUGUUCACUCUGACGGUAGUUUCUUUUGCUGUGCAGAAGCUCUUUAGUUUAAUUAGAUCCCAUUUGUCAAUUUUGGCUUUUGUUGCCACUGCUUUUGGUGUUUUAGACAUGAAGUCCUUGCCCAUGCCUAUGUCCUGAAUGGUAUUGCCUAGGUUUUCUUCUAGGGUUUUUAUGGUUUUAGGUCUAACAUUAAAGUCUUUAAUCCAUCUUGAAUUAAUUUUUGUAUAAGGUGUAAGGAAGGGAUCCAGUUUCAGCUUUCUACAUAUGGCUAGCCAGUUUUCCCAGCACCAUUUAUUAAACAGGGAAUCCUUUCCUCAUUUCUCGUUUUUGUCAGGUUUGUCAAAGAUCAGAUAGUUGUAGAUGUGUGGCAUUAUUUCUGAGGGCUUUGUUCUGUUCCAUUGGUCUAAAUCUCUGUUUUGGUACCAGUACCAUGCUGUUUUGGUUACCAUAGCCUUGUAGUAUAGUUUGAAGUCGGUAGUUUGAAGUCAGGAACAAAGCCUGUAGUAUAGUUUGAAGUCAGGAACAAAGCCUCCAGCUUUGUUCUUUUGGCUUAGGAUUGACUUGGAAAUGCAGGCUCUUUUUUGGUUCCAUAUGAACUUUAAAGUAGUUUUUUCCGGUUCUGUGAAGAAAGUCAUUGGUAGCUUGAUGGGGAUGGCAUUGAAUCUAUAAAUUACCUUGGGCAGUAUGGCCAUUUUCAUGAUAUUGAUUCUUCCUACCCAUGAGCAUGGAAUGUUCUUCCAUUUGUUUGUAUCCUCUUUUAUUUCAUUGAGCAGUGGUUUGUAGUUCUACUUGAAGAGGUCCUUCAUAUCCCUUGUAAGUUGGAUUCCUAGGUAUUUUAUUCUCUUUAAAGCAAUUGUGAAUGGGAGUUCAUUCAUCAUUUGGCUCUCUGUUUGUCUAUUAUUGGUGUAUAAGAAUGCUUGUGAGUUUUGCACAUUGAUUUUGUAUCCUCAGACUUUGCCGAAAUUGCUUAUCAGCUUAAGGAGAUUUUGGGCUGAGACGAUGGGGUUUUCUAGAUAUACAAUCAUGUCAUCAAAUCUUAGUAAAUGCCAUUGUCUCUUAUUUCUCUGAUCAUCCUUUGGGAACUUUAGGCACAAUCUGUCUCUGUUUGUCUGUCUCUUGCCCUCUCUCCUUUUUUCUCUCAUCUUCUCAUUUUGGGUUACUGGAUAACAGUGGUCCGAGAAGUUACAUAUGUUUCAUGGGACUUUAACAUCUCUGUAACAUUGUUGCAAAGACAGCACAUGAUAAAAGUUUGUUUUUUCAAUUCCAACGAACAUGUUUGGAUAUGUAUAUGAUUGCCAUUUAAAUAGCAAAAAUAUAUGCAAUAACCUAUACAAAACUUCUGUAAAGAAAAUGCUAUUGACAGCUGUAAUAAUGCCACUAACUUUUGUUUCCUCCUCUAUUACUUCUCAUAAAAGUUUCCAAGGCCUCUCAUAUUCCAAGACUUUUGCUCAGUAAAGCUAAACAUCACCUUGCCUAUAAAGCAUAAGUACUUGAAAGAAAAUCCAUGCUGCCAAAGAAGAAGAAGCAGUAACCCAUACUUUCUUUAUUUCAACCAUUUCAAAAAUAAUCAGGUUCACAGCUGAGCAAUGACCUUUCCAAGAGAAAAGUGGUGUGAUGACAGAUCAGGUGAUUUGACAAUGAGGUGCUAAUGGCUUAGAGUUAUUUUCACGUUCUCUAUUGCUAGAAAGAUCCUGUUCAGAAUUCAAAAUCAGCUAUAUGUUCAAACUGCAGCCUGUGGCAAGGAGACAUACACUUGGCCUAAGACAGUGCAGUGUUUGAAAGUAGAGCGGACCUUGAAAUCUGCUGCUUUACUACUUAAAAUUAUUCAUCUUGAAAGGAACCUCAAAGAAGAUACAGCCAGCAUUUAUCAAAGUGGAGUCUCUAAUUUCAAGAAUUCACAAAAAUCAAGAUUCUUGGGCUAUGCUCCAGACCCAUUUAAUCUGAAUUUCUGGGGUUUGGCCCUGAGAAAAUGAUUUUUAAAGAAACUCCACAGGAUUCUGAUUCAUACUAAUGUUUGUGAAUCAAUAUUCUAGAUCAUCCUUCACUUUGUAUGAAUUGGUGAUUUAUUGUUGCCACAAAUAUGCUGGUUGUUUGAGUGACCAAAGUAAAGAUAAUUUUCAGUUAGCAGGCUGAUUUCCCUCCAUUUGAGUUUAUGAUACAAUAUCUGCAUUAAUUUAAUGAAUAUAUGUAUGCUUGAUUUGCUACAACUGAAAAAAAACAUUUUUGGCAAGGGAAAAUCUUUAUCCCGUAACAACAACUUUUGCGAAAAUCUGCGUUUUUUUCUCAUACUAUAUAAUGCAAGAACUUAUCUUCAUUUAAGAGCUUGAUUGGAACAACUCUAGGUUGUAACAUCACGAAAACACAUCCAUGCAUGAGAUAAAAAAAAUACUUUCAAUGACACUUUUCUUUAGACACAAGUUACUUGAAAUAAUAUAUCAAUAGGUAUCAAAGGCUAAAAGAGAAAAAUACAGUCGAGAAAUCCUAGUUGCAUGGCCUUGAUGAAGAUGCACAGAGAUAGGUAUAUUACAUAAAAUUACAUGAGUACAGAAAACCCAGGGUUAAGAGUUUAGUUUAACUUUGCCUUGCCAAUUUUAUGUAGAGAUAGCUUAGCUGAGUGGUUCUGCUGUAGGAUCUCUCAUGAGUUUGUACUCAAGGUGUUGGCUGGGGCUGCAGUCAGCUACAACUUUUCCUGGGGCUGGAAAAUGUAAUUCCAAAAUUACUCAAAUGGCUGUUGGCAAAAGGUCCCAGCUCCUUGCCACAUGGACCUCUCCAUAGGGCUGUAGAUGAGAUGACAGCUGGUGUCUCUCAGAACACAUGAUUGAAUAGCAAAGAGAGUUACAUCACACUGCGUUUAUGACCUAGUCUCUGGGUCACUUCUGCCUUAUUCUAUUCGAAGUGAAUCAGGACAUCUAACCCACACUCAACAGGAGGAGACUAUAGAAGAAUAUGAAUAUGUGUCAGGAGGCAAGGAUCACCGGGGUUCAUAUUGGAGGCUGGUUUCUUUAACGAGGCCACCUUGGUAGGAGAAAGUAAGAAGAUAUGACCAGUUAUCUCCUCCAUCAGACAAAGGCACUAUUGAUUGUUCAGGAAAUUAAGUGGCCCCCUUUGCACCACAGUGCAAAAAAUGUACUCUUCUUUGGUGAAUCUUUAUUAUGUUGAUUGUUAAAGUGAUAUCUGUACAUAUUAAAUGUGUUAUGGCCUUAAGUGUUACAAUCCUUGCUCUGUGUAUAUUUACAUUUAUAUGUGUAUCAAUAUUCUCAAGCAGGAACACAGCACUGCCCUUCCAGCUCCCUCCCCCAGCUAGAGGACAUCUGGCAAUUUGACAUUUUGGUUGUCACAAUCUAGGGGACAGGGCUACUACUAGCAUCUACAGGGUAGAGCCAGUGGUACUGCUAAAUAUCUUAUAAUCCAUAGUACUGCUCCUGCAAUGAAGAAUUAUCUGGCUUAUGAUGUCAAUAAAAAUAAUAAUUUUCAUCAGAAAAGAGUUGUAUCAUUUUCAAAACACUUUCACAUGCAUUAUUUUAUUGAUGCUCAUAAAGUCAUUGUGAGGUAAUAAGCUUUCUAAUUUAUGGAUGAGGAAAUUGAGGUUUAAAAGGGAAAAGUGACUUUACCAAUGUCAUAUUACUAGAAAAGUGAAGGUGUUAGAGCACGAAAAUUAAUCUUCAGCCCUCUCUUACUUUCCAUACUUUUUCCUGGCAAUGUCCUGUGGGCAAAGAUAAAUGUGCCAGUCUCCUUCACUUCAAGCCCAGCAUGGUACUUUCCACUUGCUAGAGCUUCAAAAAUGUGUUUGUUGAUUGACUAAUUAUAAAUGACAUCAAGGACAGUCAACUGUAUUAUUCCCCCCUAGUUUUUAAAUAAGAAAUGUCAACUGAUAUGGUUUGACUCUGUCCCCACUCAGAUCUCAUCUUGAGUUGUAGCUCCCACAAUUCCCACAUGUGGCUGGUGAUAGCUGGUGGGAGGUAAUUGAAUCAUGGGGGCAGGCCUUUCCCAUGCUGCUCUCGUGAUAGCGAAUAAGUCCAUGAGCUCUGAUGGUUUUAUCAAGGGGAAACCCCUUUCACUUGGCUCCUACUCUCUCUUGUCUGCCACCACGUAAGACAUGCCUUUGCUUCCCCUUUGCCUUCAGCCAUGAUUGUGAGGCCUGCCCAGCCAUGUGAAACUGUGAGUCAAUUUAACCUCUUCCAUUUAGAAAUUACGCAGUCUCAGGUAAGUCUUUAGUAGCAAUGUGAGAACAGACUAAUAUAACAACUCAGAUCCCUAGGAAAGAUUUCUGUGUAAUUCAACAUACAUUUCCUGUUUUACAUGAAUAGAUGGCUGUAGC
rnacentral:lncRNA from 1 species